AGAGUUUGAUCCUGGCUCAGGAUGAACGCUAGCGGCAGGCCUAACACAUGCAAGUCGAGGGAGAAGCCUUCGGGCUGAAACCGGCGCACGGGUGCGUAACGCGUAUACAAUCUGCCUUUCACAUAGGGAUAGCCCGAAGAAAUUUGGAUUAAUACCUAAUGGUAUAUAAGAGCGGCAUCGUUUUUAUAUUAAAGCUACGGUGGUGAAAGAUGAGUAUGCGUUCUAUUAGCUAGUUGGAGAGGUAACGGCUCCCCAAGGCGACGAUAGAUAGGGGUUCUGAGAGGGAUGUCCCCCACACUGGUACUGAGAUACGGACCAGACUCCUACGGGAGGCAGCAGUGAGGAAUAUUGGACAAUGGUCGGAAGACUGAUCCAGCCAUGCCGCGUGCAGGAAGACGGCCUUAUGGGUUGUAAACUGCUUUUGCAGGGGAAGAAUAAGGAGUACGUGUACUUUGAUGACGGUACUCUGCGAAUAAGCAUCGGCUAACUCCGUGCCAGCAGCCGCGGUAAUACGGAGGAUGCGAGCGUUAUCCGGAUUUAUUGGGUUUAAAGGGUGCGUAGGCGGCCUGUUAAGUCAGCGGUGAAAUCUAGGAGCUUAACUCCUAAAUUGCCAUUGAUACUGGCGGGCUUGAGUGUAGAUGAGGUAGGCGGAAUGCGUGGUGUAGCGGUGGAAUGCAUAGAUAUCACGCAGAACUCCGAUUGCGAAGGCAGCUUACUAAGGUACAACUGACGCUGAAGCACGAAAGCGUGGGUAUCAAACAGGAUUAGAUACCCUGGUAGUCCACGCAGUAAACGAUGAUAACUGGGCGUAUGCGAUAUACAGUAUGCUCCUAAGCGAAAGCGUUAAGUUAUCCACCUGGGGAGUACGCCGGCAACGGUGAAACUCAAAGGAAUUGACGGGGGCCCG
rnacentral:rRNA from 1 species